CACAAUGGUAGCAACGUGGAAAUCUUUGUCUGUAACUCAUCGGUAACUUACAAAUGUGUCCAUAAUUUCUCACUUAUUGGAGAGGCCUCCAUUCACUGUACAACUAAAGAUAACAUCAGUGGAGUCUGGAAUGGGUCUGUCCCUGAAUGCAAAGAUCAGUGUGGGGCCCCACGAAGGCUCCGUCGUGAUACUAAUGGCAAAGAACUGGCAGACAGGUGCGGUGGUGGCUCUGUUAAAAGCCCUGAGCCUGGCUUUGAUACACGCAUUGGCAUUCCUGGCAUCGGCAGCAACAUUACCACUGUCGUCGGUAUCACCGUCGCCGCCAUUGCCAUCGCCAUCGUCACUGGAAUAGUUGCAGGUUUGAAUAAAAAAUGGAAAAAGAAAAAGGGUUCUUACGGUGUAAAUCUGGAUUCCCCAAAGUAUCACAUUGCGCCAGAAG